UACGUAGGGUCCAAGCGUUAAUCGGAAUUACUGGGCGUAAAGCGUGAGUAGGCGGUUUCGCAAGUCCGAUGUGAAAUCCCCGGGCUUAACCUGGGAACUGCGUUGGAAACUACGAAGCUAGAGUGCGGCAGAGGGGGGUGGAAUUCCAGGUGUAGCAGUGAAAUGCGUAGAGAUCUGGAGGAACACCGAUGGCGAAGGCAGCCGCGUGGGUUAGCACUGACGCUCAUACACGAAAGCGUGGGGAGCAAACAGG
rnacentral:rRNA from 1 species